rnacentral:rRNA from 1 species
GACGAACGCUGGCGGCGUGCUUAACACAUGCAAGUCGAGCGGUAAGGCCCUUUCGGGGGUACGACGAGCGGCGAACGGGUGAGUAACACGUGGGUGACCUGCCCUCAGCUCUGGGAUAAGCCUGGGAAACCGGGUCUAAUACUGGAUAUGACUCCAUGACGCAUGUUGUGGGGUGGAAAGCCUUGUGCGGCUGAGGAUGGGCCCGCGGCCUAUCAGCUUGUUGGUGGGGUGAGGCCUACCAAGGCGACGACGGGUAGCCGGCCUGAGAGGGCGACCGGCCACACUGGGACUGAGACACGGCCCAGACUCCUACGGGAGGCAGCAGUGGGGAAUCUUGCGCAAUGGGCGAAAGCCUGACGCAGCGACGCCGCGUGAGGGAUGACGGG